GUGAACUCGAAGAGUAGGGCGGGACACGUGGUAUCCUGUCUGAAUAUGGGGGGACCAUCCUCCAAGGCUAAAUACUCCUGACUGACCGAUAGUGAACCAGUACCGUGAGGGAAAGGCGAAAAGAACCCCGGCGAGGGGAGUGAAAAAGAACCUGAAACCGUGUACGUACAAGCAGUGGGAGCACCUUCGGGUGUGACUGCGUACCUUUUGUAUAAUGGGUCAGCGACUUAUAUUCUGUAGCAAGGUUAACCGUAUAGGGGAGCCGCAGGGAAACCGAGUCUUAACUGGGCGUUAAGUUGCAGGGUAUAGACCCGAAACCCGGUGAUCUAGCCAUGGGCAGGUUGAAGGUUGGGUAACACUAACUGGAGGACCGAACCGACUAAUGUUGAAAAAUUAGCGGAUGACUUGUGGCUGGGGGUGAAAGGCCAAUCAAACCGGGAGAUAGCUGGUUCUCCCCGAAAGCUAUUUAGGUAGCGCCUCGUGAACUCAUCUUCGGGGGUAGAGCACUGUUUCGGCUAGGGGGUCAUCCCGACUUACCAACCCGAUGCAAACUACGAAUACCGAAGAAUGUUAUCACGGGAGACACACGGCGGGUGCUAACGUCCGUCGUGAAGAGGGAAACAACCCAGACCGCCAGCUAAGGUCCCAAAGUCAUGGUUAAGUGGGAAACGAUGUGGGAAGGCACAGACAGCCAGGAUGUUGGCUUAGAAGCAGCCAUCAUUUAAAGAAAGCGUAAUAGCUCACUGGUCGAGUCGGCCUGCGCGGAAGAUGUAACGGGGCUAAACCAUGCACCGAAGCUGCGGCAGCGACACUAUGUGUUGUUGGGUAGGGGAGCGUUCUGUAAGCCUGCGAAGGUGUGCUGUGAGGCAUGCUGGAGGUAUCAGAAGUGCGAAUGCUGACAUAAGUAACGAUAAAGCGGGUGAAAAGCCCGCUCGCCGGAAGACCAAGGGUUCCUGUCCAACGUUAAUCGGGGCAGGGUGAGUCGACCCCUAAGGCGAGGCCGAAAGGCGUAGUCGAUGGGAAACAGGUUAAUAUUCCUGUACUUGGUGUUACUGCGAAGGGGGGACGGAGAAGGCUAUGUUAGCCGGGCGACGGUUGUCCCGGUUUAAGCAUGUAGGCUGGUUNUCCAGGCAAAUCCGGAUAAUCAAGGCUGAGGUGUGAUGACGAGGCACUACGGUGCUGAAGUAACAAAUGCCCUGCUUCCAGGAAAAGCCUCUAAGCAUCAGGUAACAUCAAAUCGUACCCCAAACCGACACAGGUGGUCAGGUAGAGAAUACCAAGGCGCUUGAGAGAACUCGGGUGAAGGAACUAGGCAAAAUGGUGCCGUAACUUCGGGAGAAGGCACGCUGGUGUGUAGGUGAAGUCCCUGCGGAUGGAGCUGAGACCAGUCGAAGAUACCAGCUGGCUGCAACUGUUUAUUAAAAACACAGCACUGUGCAAACACGAAAGUGGACGUAUACGGUGUGACGCCUGCCCGGUGCCGGAAGGUUAAUUGAUGGGGUUAUCCGUAAGGAGAAGCUCUUGAUCGAAGCCCCGGUAAACGGCGGCCGUAACUAUAACGGUCCUAAGGUAGCGAAAUUCCUUGUCGGGUAAGUUCCGACCUGCACGAAUGGCGUAAUGAUGGCCAGGCUGUCUCCACCCGAGACUCAGUGAAAUUGAACUCGCUGUGAAGAUGCAGUGUACCCGCGGCAAGACGGAAAGACCCCGUGAACCUUUACUAUAGCUUGACACUGAACAUUGAGCCUUGAUGUGUAGGAUAGGUGGGAGGCUUUGAAGCGUGGACGCCAGUCUGCGUGGAGCCAACCUUGAAAUACCACCCUUUAAUGUUUGAUGUUCUAACGUUGGCCCCUNCGGGGUUGCGGACAGUGUCUGGUGGGUAGUUUGACUGGGGCGGUCUCCUCCCAAAGCGUAACGGAGGAGCACGAAGGUUAGCUAAUCCUGGUCGGACAUCAGGAGGUUAGUGCAAUGGCAUAAGCUAGCUUGACUGCGAGCGUGACGGCGCGAGCAGGUGCGAAAGCAGGUCAUAGUGAUCCGGUGGUUCUGAAUGGAAGGGCCAUCGCUCAACGGAUAAAAGGUACUCCGGGGAUAACAGGCUGAUACCGCCCAAGAGUUCAUAUCGACGGCGGUGUUUGGCACCUCGAUGUCGGCUCAUCACAUCCUGGGGCUGAAGUAGGUCCCAAGGGUAUGGCUGUUCGCCAUUUAAAGUGGUACGCGAGCUGGGUUUAGAACGUCGUGAGACAGUUCGGUCCCUAUCUGCCGUGGGCGCUGGAGAAUUGAGGGGGGCUGCUCCUAGUACGAGAGGACCGGAGUGGACGCAUCACUGGUGUUCGGGUUGUCAUGCCAAUGGCACUGCCCGGUAGCUAAAUGCGGAAGAGAUAAGUGCUGAAAGCAUCUAAGCACGAAACUUGCCCCGAGAUGAGUUCUCCCUGAGACUUUAAGUCUCCUGAAGGAACGUU
rnacentral:rRNA from 1 species